rnacentral:rRNA from 1 species
CCUACGGGGGGCAGCAGUGAGGAAUAUUGGACAAUGGGCGCAAGCCUGAUCCAGCCAUGCCGCGUGCAGGAUGACGGUCCUAUGGAUUGUAAACUGCUUUUGCACAGGAAGAAACAACGCUACGUGUAGCGUCUUGACGGUACUGUGAGAAUAAGGAUCGGCUAACUCCGUGCCAGCAGCCGCGGUAAUACGGAGGAUCCAAGCGUUAUCCGGAAUCAUUGGGUUUAAAGGGUCCGUAGGCGGCUUUAUAAGUCAGUGGUGAAAUCUCCCCGCUCAACGGGGAAACGGCCAUUGAUACUGUAAGGCUUGAAUUAUUAGGAAGUAACUAGAAUAUGUAGUGUAGCGGUGAAAUGCUUAGAGAUUACAUGGAAUACCAAUUGCGAAGGCAGGUUACUACUAAUUGAUUGACGCUGAUGGACGAAAGCGUGGGUAGCGAACAGGAUUAGAUACCCCGGUAGUC